rnacentral:lncRNA from 1 species
AAUUAGAUGAGGUACUUUCCUUUUUAGUCUGUUCCAAAAUAAAUGACACAUUUCUAAAUUUGAAAAAAAUUCAACUUUCAACUCUUCAUUUUACCAUUUUUACCCUAAAUGAGAAGCUCUUAUAGCCAUAUAAAUAUCAUGACCCCAUAAAGCUUUUACCCCUUAAGCUUUUAAGAUCACAAAUUUCAAAAGUCUUCAUCUUUUUUUCUUAAACUCUGAGUCGAGUCAAAUUACCUCAUCUAAAUUGAAACGGAUGGAGUACUACAAACAUUCUCUGCCUAAGUGAUAAAUAGGCUAAAGUCUUCCCACCCUUUCAUAAUGUUCCUCCACAAUCCACAAUCAUAUGGCAAUGUAACGUUUCUAUCUAGGUAUACACCCCCUUUUCAAUUCUGCUACAACUCUCUACAUAAAGCAUGCUCGUCCACCCAGAUUUCCGGAGCUUCUUUUUUUUCUUUUUUGAUGAAGUAAGUGGUUAAAAAAUACUCUCCAGAGCUUCUUUCUAGUAAGCUUUAUUGAAGAUCCUAAGAUCUUCUACUCCAUGAUCUUAUUCCUUUGAAGAUAUCACCGAUUCGUAAUUCAUUAAGCAAAAUUUCCUAAUUCGACUUGCGUUCUCCUUCAAAAUUCCGCCAUGGCAACUCCAAUUGUUGUUUCAGUAAGAUCAAUGCUGCAUUAAUGGCAUGUAAUAUGUGGAAGGCAUGGAUGAUUAAUACUUCAUUUCCUUCUUUGAACAAAUACAUAUUUCGCCACCUAGCUAGCUGCUUUUCCACCCUCUCAAUCACCAUAUCCCACACUACUAAGUCCUUACUGAAAGCACCCAGAGAAAGAUGGACCAAGGUAAGUAGUAGGUAGUGCUCCUACCUUAUUCAACAGGUAUGCUAGGUCUUCAGCAUUUUCUACCCCGUCCACCGGUUUGAUCUCGCAUUCCCUAAGCUUGAACUUUAACCUAAAUAGACACCACCUGGAACCACAUAAGGUUUUGUCUUAAAUAUUUAGCUGGGCCACACUUGCAUUGCUGAAUUCAAAGGUGUCAUCCACAAACAUGAACUGGAUAACCCUAAUGAAACUUUGUUCCUCACCGAGAUAAAAAUGACUCUUAAAAAUCCUCCACCAAUUUAUCUAAGCGGUUUCAUCCCCAAAAAGAAUAGCUCACAGAUAGCGGAUCCCCCGAUCACCAGAAGAUCCUCCAUUCACUAAGACUUAGAAUCUAACAAUAAAAAUGCAAAAUUUAUCCACCUCCUCAUCCCAAAUAUGCCAUAGUUAUGAUGUAGUCCAAGAGUUCCUAAUGCAUAUCAACAUAGACCUUUUCAAGGUCCAACUUGCAUCCAAAAAUUCCUAAUCCCUAGCUUUCCCUUCUUCCUUCUAGGAUCAAUCACUUCAUUCGCCACCAAAGUUGCAUGCAAACUCUGUCUACUUGAUCAAAUGCAUUACAGAAAUGGGUAUUGCCUUAUUUAGUUCUUUUUUAGUAUGUUCGAAAGCGCCUUAGGAAUUAUCUCAUAUAUGAUACCCACCAAACUACUAUGCAUGCAAUCCUUGUGCUUAUAACCCUCAUGUUUCAACAUAAUAAGUAUGAUGUGUUGAGGCUUCUUUGAACUCACCCAUUAAAAAAUGUCAUACUGGUCCAUAUCAAGUUCCCUUAAAUCUGCUUUAGCACAGCUGGACAAAGGCCAAUGUGAACCCAUUUGGUCCCAGGAUCUUAUCUCGGGCACAACUCACCUCUUGUUCUCCUAUAACCCUUUCUAACCACUCCCUCCACUCGUCUCUUAUUUGGUUGAAC